GAGACACCCCUAUGGAGCAGGACUUGCUUCAGUGGUGCUUUGGUGCUCACUGAGGCUGCUCCUUGCAUGUGUCGCU
rnacentral:pre_miRNA from 1 species